GAUCCUGGCUCAGGAUGAACGCUAGCUACAGGCUUAACACAUGCAAGUCGAACGAAGCACUUUAACCUGAUUCUUCGGAUGAAGGUUUUUGUGACUGAGUGGCGGACGGGUGAGUAACGCGUGGGUAACCUGCCUCAUACAGGGGGAUAACAGUUAGAAAUGACUGCUAAUACCGCAUAAGACCACGGAGUCGCAUGGCUCAGUGGGAAAAACUCCGGUGGUAUGAGAUGGACCCGCGU
rnacentral:rRNA from 1 species